rnacentral:rRNA from 1 species
CCUACGGGAGGCAGCAGUAGGGAAUAUUGCUCAAUGGGGGCAACCCUGAAGCAGCAACGCCGCGUGGAGGAUGAAGGUUUUCGGAUUGUAAACUCCUUUUGUUAGAGAAGAUAAUGACGGUAUCUAACGAAUAAGCACCGGCUAACUCCGUGCCAGCAGCCGCGGUAAUACGGAGGGUGCAAGCGUUACUCGGAAUCACGGGGCGAAAAGAGCGCGUGGGCGGGAUAGCAAGUCAGAGUUGAAAUCCUACGGCUUAACCAGAGAACUGCAUUUGAAACUGUUAUUCUAGAGUAUGGGAGGGGUAGGUGGAAUUCUGGGGGUAGGGGUAAAAUCCGUAGAGAUCAAGAGGAAUACUCAGUGCGAAGGCGACCUGCGAGAACAUAACUGACGCUGAUGCGCGAAAGCGUGGGAGCAAACAGGAUUAGAUACCCUUGUAGUC